AUCAUAUGUUUAUUGUUUACUGUUCAGCUACUGUGUUUUCAAUCGAUAUUUCAUUCUCCUCACAAACAAUUUAGGAGAAAACUAGGUUUUUAGAAUCGACUGCUACAUGCUAAUAAAGCGAAAGUGAUUUAUUUUUGGAAAUAAUAGACCAAUAAAGGAGUUUCUUUUUUAUUUCAUGUAUGUACAUAUAGGACAUGAUUUACAAAGAUUUACAAGGAAUAUACCUAGUCUACUUUCUAUAUUUCAUAAGGCCACAGCAAGAAUUUGUAGAGGCAUGUCCGAAGAAAUUACUUAACUCCAAUCUGGAUUCAAUAUUAGGAAGAGGAGAGAUGUAAAUCAUUCAGUAAGCCGUGUCACAUCAGCAAACUCAAAACUCAAUAUUUUCUGUUGAUCAGUGUCACAGAAAUCUAACACUGGAAAGCCACACGAUAAAGAAACAGGAGCAGUAAAAUACAGUGUCCUUUCUCUAUGGUAAAAUAUUACUGCCAGGAGUGCCAGAGAAGGGCAACUAAACCACCUGAUGCAAAACCUAUCAAAAUAAUUGAAAAAAAAAUUGUAAAUGAUUAAUCCAUCAUAUAAAUAUUUCCCCAGCAGGAAAUUUCAUAUUAUUUGUGAAAGUAUCAAUAAACAUACUUAAAAUUA